CGUUAGGGGACUCUAUCGUAUAAUUUUUUUAUAUAAAAAAAAGUCUAAUCGUCCGGUUUAAACGUAGAUUAGAUCACGGAACCACCAAAACAGAAGUCCUUUUUUUCCCCCUUUUGCUAGGAAUAACAGAAAGCCCUUUAGUUUAGCCGCCAAACGUGCCCCAUCUAGGCAUUGCAUGACUUCGUGCACGUGAUCGAAUAUAUAUAGACGAAAUCACGAAUAUAUACUUUUGCUCUUUCCACAACCAAAACAAGAGAGAGAGAUAAACCCUAGAUCGAUCGAUCGAGCUUGCAUUAUUAAUUGCCGACGACGAUCGAUCGACGGCGAGCGAUGGGGAAGGGGGAUAGCCCGAGCAACGAGCUGCUGUGCUUCCUGUGCGCGGCGGCCGGGGUGGUGGCCGGCGUGUCGGCGUACCGGCGGAAUCGGCGGCGGAGGGAGGAGGAGGAGCGGCGGCGGGUGGAGGCGGCCGUGGAGGAGAUGGAGGGGUGGGAGUUCGAGGCCAUGCGCGCCAACUACCUCGCCCUCAUGGACGACGCCCUCGCCGCGCUCUCCGCCGCCGCCGCCGGAGCUGAACCGACGGCCAAAACCUAGCUAGCUGCAUGCACUGUCGAUCGCCAUGGAUCUCGAUCUAGGGAGGCAUGCGUGGAGAAAUAUCGGUGCACAGCUGCAUGCUACUCUAUCAACAUUACAUAUCAGGAGAAUUUGAUGUUCUUUUAUGAGUUGCUGCUAGACAAAUUUAGAAAUAUGUAGUGCUACAGCUUAAUCAUAUACUAGCUGAUGAAUUGAAUUACUUGGUGAUUAUUAAUCAGUGUCUAUUGGACAUCCCUUAAAUAUUUAUUCGCUUCCUUAAUUUAUGUGUUUCUUUUGAGGCUGUGAGCCUGUGAGUGGAAAAAAAGCUUAUAAUUAUUGUACGGGCACAACAAUUAAUCUGAACAUGGAUAUAUAUAUUCAUUGACAAGGGUUCCUUAUUUUUAGUCU